UUGCGAAAACUUCACAAUGGGCGAAAGCCUGAUGAGGGGAUUCGAAGUGCAUGCAUUUUAUGCAUGCUUUUCUCUACUUUAAACGGGUAGGGGAAUAAGGGGUGGGUAAGACAGGUGCCAGCCGCCGCGGUAAUACCUGCGCCCCAAGUGGUGACCACGAUUAUUGGGCUUAGAGCGUCCGUAGCCGGGUUGCUAAGUCUCUGGUGAAAUACGGCAGAUAACUGUCGUGCGUGCUGGAGAUACUGGCAAUCUUGAGACCGGGAGACGUAUGGGGUACUUCAGGGGUAGGGGUAAAAUCCUAUAAUCCCUGAAGGACCACCAGUGGCGAAGGCGCCAUACGAGAACGGCUCUGACGGUGAGGGACGAAAGCUGGGGGAGCGACCCGG
rnacentral:rRNA from 1 species